CAACCUCUGGAAUGUACGAAAUGUCCCUGACUGUGCUGGCCAACUGAACGAUUUUUUGCCCGAAGUCGGGUCGCUGUGAGCAAGCCCGCCCACGAGCGGGAAGCCUAAAGCACCCAACCUGGGUAUCAUUCGACUCUAAAAGGCUCUCUCAAAGGAAUAAAAACGGCAUUCUGGAGGUUUU
rnacentral:other from 1 species